rnacentral:rRNA from 1 species
UACGUAGGGGGCUAGCGUUGUCCGGAAUUAUUGGGCGUAAAGCGCGCGCAGGCGGUCCUUUAAGUCUUGUGUUUAAUCCCAAAGCUCAACUUUGGUACGCAUGGGAAACUGGGGGACUGGAGUGCAGGAGAGGAAAGUGGAAUUCCACGUGUAGCGGUGAAAUGCGUAGAGAUGUGGAGGAACACCAGUGGCGAAGGCGGCCUUCUGGACAGUGACUGACGCUGAGACGCGAAAGCGUGGGGAGCAAACAGG